rnacentral:tRNA from 1 species
GGCUUAUUAGCUCAGUUGGUAGAGCAGUGGACUCUUAAUCCAUCGGUCGCAGGUUCGAGCCCUGCAUAGCCCACCA